rnacentral:lncRNA from 1 species
CCUCUGAGGAAGUGAACUGAAGGCACAGAGUGCGAGGGACACCAUCCCAGGCAGAGAUGGUCCAAGGUAGGAGAGGCUUAGUAAGCGCUUGGAGAUGCCACUAAGAUGCCACUUGGAGAUGCCACUAAGAUCCAUUGUGGACAGAGCAGGAGGAGAGAGAGGGACGGAAGGCACGCAAGAUGAGAAAACCAAAUUUAGAGAGGUCAAGUGAUUUGGUCAAGAUCACACAGCCGCCUGGGCACGAGCAGUGUACGUCUGCACCGGGGAACUGAAGCCAGGCCGCCAAAGCAGAGCACACCAAACUUAACCACUACACCACUGGGCCACCAGGGCUGGACGGAACAGUUUUGCUUUUUGAAGUCAAUGAAGAACGAGGAGACCCUGGACACAGCCUCUGAGCGGAUGGGGUAGUACCUCAGAUGAUUGAACGUUACCAUUUCACAAAGACUGAGAUGUACCUUUUGAGACUGGAGUUCUGCAGAAGCCCGUGUGCCUAAGUCACAGUUGCAAAGCGAAAACAGGCUUCUGUCUCAGCCUCCCUCACACAAAGACUAACGUGGUGUCGCCACUAGACCGGGUUCUGUGUCUUUAAAAACCUAAAAAUGCAGCUUUCCAAUAGAACGACUUGGUG